UACGUAGGGUGCAAGCGUUAAUCGGAAUUACCGGGCGUAAAGCGUACGCAGGCGGCUUUGCAAGACAGGUGUGAAAUCCCCGGGCCUAACCUGGGAACUGCAUUUGUGACUGCAUGGCUAGAGUUUGUCAGAGGGGGGUGGAAUUCCACGUGUAGCAGUGAAAUGCGUAGAUAUGUGGAGGAACACCGAUGGCGAAGGCAGCCCCCUGGGAUGUGACUGACGCUCAUGUACGAAAGCGUGGGGAGCAAACAGG
rnacentral:rRNA from 1 species